rnacentral:rRNA from 1 species
UACGUAGGUGGCAAGCGUUGUUCGGAUUUACUGGGCGUAAAGGGCGCGUAGGCGGCGCAACAAGUCACUUGUGAAAUCUCCGGGCUUAACCCGGAGCGGUCAAGUGAUACUGUCGUGCUAGAGUGCGGAAGGGGCUACUGGAAUUCUCGGUGUAGCGGUGAAAUGCGUAGAUAUCGAGAGGAACACCUGUGGCGAAGGCGGCCGACUGGGCCGACCCUGACGCUGGAGGCGCGAAGGCGUGGGGAGCGAACGGG